GAUGAACGCUGGCGGCGUGCCUAAUACAUGCAAGUCGAACGAAACUUCUUUAUCACCGAGUGCUUGCACUCACCGAUAAAGAGUUGAGUGGCGAACGGGUGAGUAACACGUGGGCAACCUGCCCAAAAGAGGGGGAUAACACUUGGAAACAGGUGCUAAUACCGCAUAACCAUAGUUACCGCAUGGUAACUAUGUAAAAGGUGGCUAUACUACCGCUUUUGGAUGGGCCCGCGGCGCAUUAGCUAGUUGGUAGGGUAAAGGCUUACCAAGGCAAUGAUGCGUAGCCGAAUUGAGAGGUUGAUCGGCCACAUUGGGACUGAGACACGGCCAAAACUCCUACGGGAGGCAGCAGUAGGGAAUCUUCCACAAUGGGCGAAAGCCUGAUGGAGCAACGCCGCGUGGGUGAAGAAGGUCUUCGGAUCGUAAAACCCUGUUGUUAGAGAAGAAAGUGCGUGAGAGUAACUGUUCACGUUUCGACGGUAUCUAACCAGAAAGCCACUGCUAACUACGU
rnacentral:rRNA from 1 species